AGCGAACGCUGGCGGCAGGCCUAACACAUGCAAGUCGAACGAAGUCUUCGGACUUAGUGGCGGACGGGUGAGUAACACGUGGGAACGUGCCUUUAGGUUCGGAAUAACUCAGGGAAACUUGUGCUAACACCGAAUGUGCCCUUCGGGGGAAAGAUUUAUCGCCUUUAGAGCGGCCCGCGUCUGAUUAGCUAGUUGGUGAGGUAAAGGCUCACCAAGGCGACGAUCAGUAGCUGGUCUGAGAGGAUGAUCAGCCACAUUGGGACUGAGACCCGGCCCAAACUCCUACGGGAGGCAGCAGUGGGGAAUCUUGCGCAAUGGGCGAAAGCCUGACGCAGCCAUGCCGCGUGAAUGAUGAAGGUCUUAGGAUUGUAAAAUUCUUUCCCCGGGGACGAUAAUGACGGUACCCGGAGAAGAAGCCCCGGCUAACUUCGUGCCAGCCGCCGCCGUAAUAC
rnacentral:rRNA from 1 species